CCUACGGGAGGCAGCAGUGGGGAAUAUUUGGCAAUGGGCGCAAGCCUGACCCAGCAACGCCGCGUGAAGGAUGACUGCCCUACGGGUUGUAAACUUCUUUUAUAAAGGAAUAAAGUGAGGCACGUGUGCCUUUUUGUAUGUACUUUAUGAAUAAGGAUCGGCUAACUACGUGCCAGCAGCCGCGGUAAUACGGAGGGUGCGAGCGUUAAUCGGAAUUACUGGGCGUAAAGCGCUCGUAGGCGGUAUGUCAAGUCAAGGGUGAAAUCCCCGCGCUCAACGUGGGAACUGCCUUUGAAACUGGCAAACUGGAGUGUGUGAGAGGAUAGUGGAAUUCCAGGUGUAGGAGUGAAAUCCGUAGAUAUCACGAAGAACUCCGAUUGCGAAGGCAGCCUACUAAACUGCCACUGACAUUGAUGCUCGAAAGUGUGGGUAUCAAACAGGAUUAGAUACCCUUGUAGUC
rnacentral:rRNA from 1 species